rnacentral:lncRNA from 1 species
AGACUGUCAUUCAGUGGUUGUCGUUUGUUUCUGUGUUACAUAUUUGUUUUUCGUUCAUUUUUUUUAUAUAAAUAAGGCCGUUAGUUUUCUCGUUUGAAUUGUUUUACAUUGUCUUAUCGGGGCCAUUUAUAGCUCACUAUGCGGUAUGGGCUUUGCUCAUUGUUGAAAGAAGGCCGUACGGUGACCUAUAGUUGUUAAUGUCUGUGUCAUUUUGGUCUUUUAUGGAUAGUUGUCUCAUUGGCAAUCAUACCCCAUCUUCUUUUUUUAUAU